rnacentral:misc_RNA from 1 species
UGCGUUCUGGGAUGCCCAAUUCAUUUUAUUAUGGCUCUAAAAUUUUUUCCGAUCCCAUUCCCGAUCUUUGCACCACUGCUGAAUCCGAAUCCGAGUCAGAACCCACCACCAGCGGCCGCCUACCGAGGUCCGCUUCUCUCGGUGGAACAACGCUAACGCCAGGGAAUUCAAUGAACGCCAACGCGCCCAGAAAGAAAUCGAAGACGACCUCCGCCGGCAUCGCCGCUUUGAUUCCGCCACUAAAAUCGUUCAUAAUUACGAUUCUGGCACAGCGAGCGCGAGUACCGAGACUUUCAAAUCGAUAGGCACGCCUUCCUCUCCUUCAAAUCCCUCAAUCCGGGGCAAAAAGUCCAAAUAUUCCAAACCCGAAACCUCGAAUUCCCACCCGGCAUUUCGGGGAAAAUGGAGAAUUUCCGAACAACCACAACCGAAAACUGACGAGAUACCAAUCGACAGAAAUGCAAACAUCAAAAUUAGCGAAGAUGGUCUCUCUUAUGUCAUCAACGGGGCGCCGUUUGAAUUUAAGUACAGCUACACCGAGACACCUAGGGUCAAGCCCGUUAAGUUGCGAGAGCAGCCUUUCUCGCCGUUUGGCCCCACCACAACGGCCCGGCCUUGGACUGGGCGGGCACCGCUGCCCCCGAGUAAGAAGAAGUUGAGGGAGUUUGACUCCUUUAAGUUGCCCCCGCCGGAUAAGAAAGGUGUGAAGCCAGUUCAGUCACCUGGCCCCUUUCUGCCUGGAUCAGGUCCGAGGUAUGUGUAUACGAGGGAGGAGAUACUGGGUGAGCCGUUGACGCG